rnacentral:SRP_RNA from 1 species
GCCAGGCGCAGUGGCAUGUGCCUGUAGUCCCAGCUACUAGGGAGGCUGAGGCUGGAGGAUCACUUGAGUCCGGGAGUUCUGGGUUGUAAUGUGUUAUGCCAACUGGGUGUCCGCACUAAGUCUGGCAUCAAUAUGGUGAUCUCGUGGGAGUGGGGGACCACCAAGUUGCCUAAUGAGGGGCAAACCAGCCCAGGUCAGAAACAGAGCAGGUCAAAACUCCAGUGCUGAUCAGUAGCGGGAUUGCGCCUGUGAAUGGCCACUGCACUCCAGCAUGGGCAACAUAGCGAGCCCCCAUCUCU